GUGCGGCAAAGCAGACGCUGGGAACCAGGCACAGCUGCAAUGGGAUUUUUUCUCCUGUCUUCCCAUUCUUUAAGUAUGAGAAUUAUCUUUGUGAAAAAGGGGGAAUAAAAAGAAAGCAUAAACUGGAUCUGCAUGUUGGCUUUAAGAAAUAAAACAAGAAAACAACCCAGAGUGGUUUCAAUUGCACAGGUAUACGGAAGUCCAUGUCGCAUUAUUUUCAGAAGAUGGGCAUUCGUAUUUUACCCUGGCUGAUUCUUAAUAGCUUCCUGUGCCACAGUGACAUACCUGUGUGGCUGAGACAAAAAAAAAAAAGAUUUUGCGUGUCAAGUGUUAUUUGAUCAAGGCCUCUGCAAUCCCUCAUCCAUUGAGUCAUUGUCUUACUGUCUCAGGUCAUAGACAAUAUUGGGUUUUGAUAGACUGACAAAGUUUACGCGUGUGAAUUAGCAGAGAGCUUGAUUUAGAGACCAGACUUAAAUCAAUCCCAAUCAUGUCUGGCUGCAGAGCUGCAGUCGACUGGCAGUGGCAUCACAACCAGCCAUCGUGUGGAGAAUCCCUGGGACUGCAAUCUCUUGUCACACUGGAGACUGGGAUAAUAAAACACUCUUGGUUAUCCAAUUGCUUUUUUUCUUUUAGCAGCUAUCAAUCACACUUGCUGUAACUGCACUUUUAUUGUGGAUUAGUCUGUCUGUAAUGCAGUUCUUAUCUACACUCGCUGGGAACCAGGGCACUAUGUCUUCUCGCUUUAACACACAUUUCUUUCUGCAGCUAGGAUGGAGGCACACACAACAAAGGAAGCAACACAAAGCAUCCGUUUUUAUCUCCUGGAUUGUUGCAAGAACAUCACUCCACUUUUUUUGUCUCAUGCUCCUUUUCAGAUUUCAACUAUAAAACAGACAGCAUACCUCUAAUGUGUUUUUUUGUUGUAUGUGUAUAUGUGUGUGCGAUUUUUUUAAAUUUUUUAAUUUUUUUUUUUUUAAAGAAAAAAAAAUCCUGUGAGGCUUGUGAUAUGUGGCAGCGGCACGUUUAGGUUCUUGCCAAUUUGAAAUACUUGGCUUCUGAGCCGAAGCCCUGAGGGACAAGUGUUAUAACUUGAAAAAAGAUUGCAACUGAAGGAAUAAAAAUGACAAGCGUAAUGGAAGAGCUGCAAAGGCAACUGUCAGGAAAAUCAGUCUGAGAUUGAAUAAUUCAUAAAUUGAAAUUACCCUGCCUUCACCUUUUUCAGAUAGACUCGCAUGAUAUGAAUCUGUAACAAUUUUUCAAGACAAAGCCAAAAUGUCAUUUUGGAAUUGAAGGGCUUUCAACGUGAGAUGCUGCAUUUUGAUCCUGUUUCUUUUUACAAUUAUGCUGUGAGAAGUGCACUCAUCACCAAGCACUAUUGCCAGUGAAAAUUACAGGCAAUUACAUUGGGGCGACUGACACACUACCAUCUGAUCUACAGUGUUCCUAACCCGGGUGCAUGCUCUCCCUCUGUCUGCAGUGACAUGCAGCCUGCACAUAUGUAUAAGUACACUGGUUGAUUUUCUGUCACUCUUCCUUGAAGAUGUGGGAAGAUAUAGCGCAAAUUUCAAUACAUGAUCUAUUCCAGUUAUUGAAUGCAUUGCCAGCAGUUGCUUAAUAACAGGGUUGUGUUAGCCAACUGUUUGUAACUACUUGGAAAGUUAUUUUAAGCACAGAGCCUGGGUGUAUUUGUCUGUGUAUAUGGCUGGAAUCAGACUACCAGUGGAGCUUCUAACUGUUUCUCUCUUGUGGCGCAGCAGUAAUGUUGGAAUGUACAAUCGACAUGCUGUCAUGGCUGGAGCAAGGUGUUUUUUUUUCUAUAUGCACAACAGUGUUCAUUACAAAGUUUAAGCCCUAGCGUAAUUAUUGCUGUAAAGGAGAUACAUUAAGUAGCCAUAAAGCUGUAGAAAGCAGGAGCAGAGUGAUGCCUUUGGGAUAUGGCAAAUAGAACAAAGAGAGUGAAAUGCAGCAAUAGAUCAGUUUAUGGUAAGCAGUUACAGCGUAUAGUGCUGAUGUUAGAGCUAUGAAAAAUGCACUUUCAAAGUACUUUUCCAAUGCACAGCACAUAAUUAGUUGAAAAGUAGAGGGGUUUUGAUUUAUGAGCGUGUAUGUUUUUAUUUUUGCCUUAUUUAAAACUUUAGAUGAAGUAUAGCAAGCCCUCUGUAGAUUAGCCCUUUUAAGGCUUGGUCUAGCUCUACUGGCUUAGUCUUGUAACCGUUUCUGUUGCGUGAUAGACGCAGAAGAGUCUCUCCUUGUUUCACAGUCAUAUCAGGUAGUGUUUCAGAGGAAGCAUCUUUUCUGAAAAGGGUAACAGAAUCAUACAAAAAGUAAGAAAAUCACCAUCAGAUUAGCCGGCCCGCCACUGGUAUUGUUCAAACCUGAAGAUUCUGUUAAAACAUGGCGUGGCAAAGGUCGGCAUGCAGCUCCCGACACCAACAAUAAGGCACGAGAUCCUGAUCCCCAAGCAAAUGAGAACUUGAAGUAUACAUGGGAGCUACUGUAAAUCAAGUUACAAUGCGGUGGGCUCCUGGGGAGGCCUUGGCUCCCCACACACCAGCGACCCCGAUGGCUGGCCGGGUGCCUGCAGGUCGGCCUGUACAUAAUUCAGAACUGCGUGGUCCUCCGACACUGUAAGUUCUGAAUAUGGCUGCACGGAGGGCUUGCAGAGCGAAAAAAAGCAGACGGCUGAUGGCACUUGUUUCGGAGGACGUGAGUGCUUGUCUUCGUCUCAGACGAAUUAAGCCUUCUCUAUGUUAUGUAAAAAACUAACUUUAUUGGUUUCUUUGUGUCUGUUUUGAGCCCUGAGUGCACACUACCUGCCCUGAUAAUUCUUUACAAACCAGACCUGAAUUAACCUGCUUUAAGAGGAUAGUACUGAAUAAUAUGGAAUGAACAUAUUAGAAAUACAUAAUUUCAGAGGGCUUAUCUGCUUAGCAGAAAACAUGUACUUAUCCAAAGUGAAUUUCACACAAAAGUUAAACUAUAAGAAAUAGGUUUCCAAGCGUUUCAGCUAGUGCCUUCAUCGAUGUGACUCAGCGUUUGAAGUUUUGGAUGAAGUUCACAUGAACCUUAAAACCUUAUAACAUAUUUUUUGUUUUACUAUAGCACUCUUUACUCUAUUCGUCUGGGGAAUCUUUUCAUGUCCAAGAUAUAACUAUUCAUCAAAGUAAAUAAAGCAAGUAAUUUAAGAAGAAAUACCAUUAUGAUUUGAUCAUACACCUUAAACAUUUUUGUAAAGAGCAUAAAAUCACUUUCUGCUUAAAGCUGCUUUUUACCUGCAAAGCGUGUAUCAAACACGCAGGUCAUAUAAGAUACAAGAUAUCUUAGUUACACAAGACACAAUUAAAGCUACCUUAGCACCCAUAUCAUCUCAUUGUAACAUUUUACCAAGGAACAACCCUUGAAUAAAUAUUAGAAUGUCUAUCAGUUACUACAAUACACAGGGACAUAUUUUCAAAGCGUUUACUCCAGUCUUUAUUAACUCCUAUCUAUAUAUCUUGUGUUGUCUUUUCUGUAAAGGACAAAUCCUAGGAAUUAUAUUUAUAUGAAAGUGUUAUAGUGUUGCAUUUUAUAUUCUGGUUACAGUGUGUAAGUAUAUACAUAUAACAAAAGUUAUUGUAUUUCUUGCUCUCAUUGUAUUACUUGUAUUGUAACACUUGAAAUGUAUUUGCUUACGAUUGUAAGUC